GCGGAGGUGGCAGAGCGGUCCAAUGCGCCUGGCUUGAGACCAGGUCUCCGAAAGGGGGCGCGAGUUCGAAUCUCGUCCUCCGCG
rnacentral:tRNA from 1 species